CCAAGUCCACGAUUACUCUUCACGUCUCCCGAUGCAACCACCGCAAUUGGUUUGGAACUUUUAAAAUCAAAGUUGAGCUUAAGAGAAUCCGUUUUCUCAAUAGGCCACCAAAUGUGACUUCCUGCGAAAGGGUAUCUCGAGUACUUUAACUUCCUCGUCCAAACUCACGAAUAUCAAGGAACCAUUGUGGAAGAUAGUUAAAUUGUUCCAAUGAUCGGACGUUACGUAAUCGCCAAGAACCGCAGCAAUUUUGGAAUCAUGACCGAAGUCUAAUUCAACGUAAACUGAACCGUUCAUGAUGGACGCUGCUACGUAAUGCGGUGUACCAUCGAUCUCACCAGAUGCGUAAAAUAAUGCUGAAUCGUCGAACUUUGUCUAAAAUAUUGAUGGACGUUUAAAAUCACUGACGGUAAUAGUUCCUUGGAAGUAUCAGAAGAGCAAGUUUAGAUCUUUCAUUAAAUUCUGAUGCACGACGUCACAACGUUCGCCUUCGUAUUUCGUUCCAAAGCAGUCACAUGUCAGGCUGUUAUAAUGAUUGACGCAUUGAUCGGACAUGAAGCAAAGAUUUUCCCUUGUCCAGCACCUGAAGUACGAUUGGAUAUAAUGAUUUAUUUUUGAGAAAUCGAUUGGAUUGAUGGAAUUGAAGAACUCUCUAUAAAGUGUAUCAUCGUUUAAGAUUUUUUAUAACGAUCUUCUUAGAAUUUAUACCUGUUAAUUGUUUAACUGAUUAUGUUUCUUAUUAUAUUAUUUCUUUUCUUUUCGUUUUUUCAAAGGAUAAAUUUGAGUUAUAGAGAGUCCCUCUAAAGAUCAGAGAUGCGAUUGGGAUGUAUUGUGCUUGCUGUAGAAAUGAAUUAUAAAUGCGUAUCACGAAUUGAAAGGAUCGAAUAACAGGAAAGUGACGUACUUGUCUAUGCAACCCUCCUUCACAUUUUCAUGCUUCGUUGCGAUCAAUGGUAGAAUAGGCAACAAGUCGCUUGCCGACUUGCCGGAACUAAGGACCAUGUCUCUGAUGCAGCCGACAAAAGAUUCUAUGAUGUAUUUAACACCAUGUAGACGUUCCUCUGAGCUCAAUCCUAACCAAACUUUUAAGAUUCAGAACACACGAACGCGCCCACGCAUCUUUCCAUAAAGCGCUUAAAAUCUUCAUCCUUCCGGUAUACCUCGCAUUGGUUAAAACUCAGCUCGAUAUGCUAUUGUAGAUGCAUUUUUACGAUUGCGGCAGUCGCUUUUGGAUUUACGACUUCCGUUUUGUUUAUCAGGUAUGUAAUAUACAAGCAUCACGUUCCUCAUAAAUUACAUAA